rnacentral:rRNA from 1 species
GACGAACGCUGGCGGUGUGCUUAACACAUGCAAGUCGAACGGAAAGGCCCUGCUUUUGUGGGGUGCUCGAGUGGCGAACGGGUGAGUAACACGUGAGUAACCUGCCCUUGACUUUGGGAUAACCUCAGGAAACUGGGGCUAAUACCGGAUAGGAGCUCCUGCUGCAUGGUGGGGGUUGGAAAGUUUCGGCGGUUGGGGAUGGACUCGCGGCUUAUCAGCUUGUUGGUGGGGUAGUGGCUUACCAAGGCUUUGACGGGUAGCCGGCCUGAGAGGGUGACCGGCCACAUUGGGACUGAGAGACGGCCCAGACGCCUACGGGAGGCAGCAGUGGGGAAUAUUGCACAAUGGGCGGAAGCCUGAUGCAGCAACGCCGCGUGCGGGAUGACGGCCUUCGGGUUGUAAACCGCUUUCGCCUGUGACGAAGCGUGAGUGACGGUAAUGGGUAAAGAAGCACCGGCUAACUACGUG